UACCAGUCUUUUGCCGCGGCAGCGUGGUGCAUCCGGUGCGGAGAGUCCUUUGUCCUGGGAAACGGAGUGCGGCCGGAAAGGGGGCCGCCCCCACGCCCUUCACGCAACGCACGUUCGUGGGGAACCUGGCGCUAAACCAUUAGUAGACGACCUGCUUCUGGGUCGGGGUUUCGUACGUAGCAGAGCAGCUCCCUCACUGCGAUCUAUUGAAAGUCAGCCCUCGACACAAGGGAAGAGGGUGGUGUAGGGAAAGAGG